AUGAAGCAGCACGUGCUGGCCAGGCCGAGGAGCUCCAAGGUGCCCGCGGGGGCGCUGGAGGUGGUGGAGCGGAGCCACAUGAGCGACGCGUCCGCCGCGCCGCUGCGGUUCCGAUCGCCGCUGUCGCUCCUGUUCGCGAGCAUCAGCAAGGGGAACGUGUGCGUGGCCGGCGACGCGCUGCACCCUAUGACGCCGGACCUGGGCCAGGGCGGCUGCUCGGCGCUCGAGGACGGCGUCAUCCUGGCCAGAUGCCUCGGCGACGCCGUCCUUGGUGCGGAGGCUGGCACGGAGGAGGAGAGGAUCGAGUCGGGCCUGCGCGAGUACGCCGGGAUGCGGCGGUGGCGGAGCGUCCAGCUCGUCGGAGCCGCCUACAUGGUCGGCUUCGUGCAGCAGAGUGACAAUGCGGUCGUGAGCUUUCUCAGGGAGAAGGUGCUGGCCGGAGCGCUCGCGAGAAGCCUUUUGAAAAUGGCCGACUACGACUGCGGAACACUCUGA
rnacentral:rRNA from 1 species